CAGUAGCCACGGGAAUACAGAGGGUGCGAGCGUUAAUCGGAUUUACUGGGCGUAAAGCGUGCGUAGGCGGCUUCUUAAGUCGGAUGUGAAAUCCCUUAGCUUAACUUAGGAAUUGCAUUCGAUACUGGGAAGCUAGAGUAUGGGAGAGGAUGGUAGAAUUCCAGGUGUAGCGGUGAAAUGCGUAGAGAUCUGGAGGAAUACCGAUGGCGAAGGCAGCCAUCUGGCCUAAUACUGACGCUGAGGUACGAAAGCAUGGGGAGCAAACAGGAUUAGAUACCCCCGUAGUCCCUGUCUCUUAUAC
rnacentral:rRNA from 1 species